AUCUCUCAACUGUACCAUUCUUUUUGAGUGUGUAUCGGUUGGAUGUGAGGGUUGCAGGCUGCAAGGCCGGCUCCUUUGAAAUGCAUUAGCUGGGAACUAGUACAUGGUGUCAAGUGCUUUGAUGCUUGAAGACCUCCUGGUGAGAUAAUUGUCUACGCCGUUGGUCUAGUCAUUGCGCCUAUUGGGACUAUGGAAAUUGGGCCUGCUUCUAACUGUCUCUAGUGCGAGACUAGUCCGCUCCAGGGCUACUAUUGACUA
rnacentral:misc_RNA from 1 species